GCCUGCCGCCGCCCGCCUCCGCCUGCCUUCUGCCGCCGGCCGGCGCGUCGUCCCCACAGAUUGCUCAUUUAGAAAGUGGAUGUGUGGGAUAACAUGUCCAAUGUGUCCGAGGAGAGAAGAAAAAGGCAGCAGAACAUUAAGGAAGGACUGCAGUUUAUACAGUCACCGCUGUCAUAUCCAGGAACACAGGAGCAAUAUGCGGUAAUGACUCCGGGAAGGUAUAUUUGCGUGCUCUCGUGAGAAAUCUUUUUAAUGAAGGAAAUGACGUUUAUCGGGAACAUGAUUGGAACAACUCGAUAAGCCAGUACACGGAAGCCUUG
rnacentral:lncRNA from 10 species